rnacentral:lncRNA from 1 species
GAUUAUAAGGCUCAAAAUGUCUCAAAAUGGUAGAUCUAGGGCUAACAAGCCUCAUGAGGCCAAAAAGCUAACAGAUCUGAGCUCCUGGAGCUCAAUCUUACAUAGAUCCAAAGGCCAAACGCCUUAUUACAACAUAUAAUGAACAUGCAAACUUGGGGAAUUGACCAAGAAGGACCCAAAUGAAGUUUUAAGCAUAGAAUCAAGGGGAAAACGGGUUAUACCUCAAAGGAAAUGUUGAAAUGACACAAGGAUGGCUGAUCUCCUUCUCCUCUUCUUGAUCUACUCCUCUUACUCUUCAAAACCUUCAAGAACACACCAAGAACACCUCAAACUCUCAAGAAAACAAGGGAAAACGAUGUAGGGGGAGUUCUGGGGGUGAAUGGGGACGAGUUGGGGCGGAAUGAGAGUUUAAAUAGGGUGCAAACCCUUGAAACUUAGGGUUUCAUCCCGCAGCGGUGACUCGCCGAGUCCAGGAUAUGGACUCGUCGAGUCGCCUACUUAAAACGCGUCCUGAGUCUCGUCCCUACUCGGCGAGUCGGACCCUAUGACUCGCCGAGUCUAAGGCUAAAUUAGGGCAAUGCUCAAAUAAAAUUCACAUACCGGAAACCAGGUGCUACACAUCUCCCCCACUUAUUUUAGACUUCGUCCUCGAAGUCUGCUGCCUGAUCCUGAAACAGCUCGGGGUAGUGCUCCAUCAUCUCGUCUACCGGCUCCCAAGUCCACUCUGAACCCUUGCGGUGCUGCCAUUGCACCUUCACUAGCUCCACCCUCUUGUUCCUUAAAUCCUUCGACUUCCUGUCGAGGAUUGCGACUGGGCGCUCGAUGUAGUUCAGGCUGUCAUCAACCUGAAUAUCCUCCAAAGGUACUACUGCAGAAUCGUCCACUAGGCACUUCCGCAACUGCGAAACAUGGAAAGUGCUGUGGAUCUGGCUAAGCUCGGCUGGCAGAUCCAGCCUAUAUGCUACCUUGCCCACCCGGGCUAAGACCCUGAACGGUCCGAUGAAUCGCGGGCCCAACUUGCCCCGCUUCCUGAAUCGGAUGACGCCUUUCCACGGCGACACCUUCAGGAGGACCAUAUCCCCGACCUGGAACUCUAAAUCGGAUCGACGCUUGUCGGCAUAACUUUUCUGUCGACUCUGAGCAGUCUGAAGCCUGCUCCGGACCUGCUGUAUCCUCUCAGUCGUCUUGAGCACCACUUCGGUGCUUCCCAUAACUCUCUGGCCAACCUCACCCCAGCAUAUCGGGGUCCUACACCUCCGUCCGUACAACAUCUCGAAGGGAGGGCGGUCGAUACUCGCGUGAUAGCUGUUGUUGUAGGAGAACUCAGCCAAAGGAAGAUAGGUAUCCCAGCUACCACCGAAAUCCAGAACACACGCCCGCAACAUGUCCUCCAAAGUCUGGAUGGUCCGCUCACUCUGUCCAUCUGUCUGCGGGUGAAAGGCGGUGCUGAAAUGCAGACGAGUGCCCAACUCGUCAUGGAAUCUCUUCCAAAACCUGGAAGUAAAACGCACAUCCCUGUCCGAGAUCACCGAUACUGGCACCCCAUGCCGUGCCACAAUCUCCCUGAUAUAGAUGUCGGCCAAUUUCUCGGCCGAUAUGCUCUCCGGAAUCGGAAUAAAGUGAGCACUCUUGGUCAAUCUAUCCACGAUGACCCAAAUCGAAUCCACUCCACGCGCGGUCCUGGGAAGCUUCGUGAUAAAAUCCAUCGUGAUAUCUUCCCACUUCCACAGUGGAAUGUCCAACGGCUGCAUCUUGCCAUGCGGCCUCUGAUGUUCGGCCUUGACCUUCCUGCAGGUCAAGCACCGCUCGACGUACCAUGCCACAUCCCGCUUCAUGCAGGGCCACCAAUAGUCUAGACGAAGAUCCCUAUACAUCUUCGUCGCCCCGGGAUGAAUAGAGAAUCGGGACUUGUGCGCCUCCUCCAUCAAAAUCUGGCGCACGCCCCCGUGAUACGGCACCCACACCCUAUGGUGUAGUGUCAAUAACCCUCGGCUAUCAUAAUCGAAGGAGGAAACCUGACCUACUACGCGCUCGUUCUUCCGAUGCUCCUCCUUGAUAGCCUCCUGUUGAGCUUCCCGAAUCUGCUCCAACAGGGGAGUCACCACAGUCAUCCUCAAACAGGCGUCCCUGAUCGGCGCCGUCUUGCGGCUAAGCGCAUCGGCCACCACAUUGGCCUUUCCCGGGUGGUAAAGGAUCUCGCAAUCAUAAUCCUUCACCACAUCCAACCACCGACGCUGCCUCAUGUUCAGAUUCGGCUGGUCCAUGAGGUACCUCAAGCUCUUGUGGUCCGUGUAGAUGGUACACCGAACCCCAUAGAGGUAAUGUCGCCAAAUCUUGAGGGCAAAUACCACCGCCCCCAACUCCAAAUCGUGCGUCGGGUAGUUCGCCUCGUGAGGCUUGAGCUGCCUCGAAGCGUAAGCAAUGACAUGCCCCCUUUGCAUCAGCACCGCGCCCAACCCAGAAAUGGACGCAUCGCAAUAAACCACGAAAUCCUCUACGCCCUCUGGCAGGGCUAAGAUCGGCGCCUCACACAAUCUCUGUCUCAGCGUCUCAAAUGCAGCCUGCUGCUCGGGUCCCCACCGAAAGACCACGGCUUUCUUCGUCAGCCGCGUCAGGGGCACGGCUAUCUUGGAGAAAUCCUGGAUAAAUCUCCGAUAGUAGCCUGCCAAUCCUAGGAAGCUCCGAAUCUCAGAUGGGGACUUCGGAACCUCCCAUCUCAUCACGGCCUCGACCUUGGCCGGAUCGACCAGAAUCCCGUUCUGGUUGACGAGGUGCCCCAGAAAUUGCACCUCGCGCAACCAAAACUCACACUUGGAGAACUUGGCAUACAAGCUCUCCCUCCUCAGGGUCUCUAACACCUCUCUCAAAUGCUCCUCAUGUUCCUCCCGGGUCUUGGAAUAAACCAAGAUAUCAUCGAUAAAGACUAUCACAGACCGGUCCAGCAUCGGUCUGCAUACACGGUUCAUGAGGUCCAUGAACGCGGCAGGAGCAUUGGUGAGCCCAAACGGCAUCACCACAAACUCGUAAUGGCCAUAGCGCGUCCGAAACGCGGUCUUCUGCAUAUCCUCCUCCCUGACCCUCAUCUGAUGAUAACCCGAACGCAAAUCAAUCUUGGAGAACCAAGAUGCGCCCUGAAGCUGGUCAAAGAGGUCAUCAAUCCUCGGAAGCGGGUAACGGUUCUUCACCGUUACCUUGUUCAGCUCCCGAUAAUCUAUACACAUCCGAUGCGACCCAUCCUUCUUCUUCACAAACAGAAUCGGGGCUCCCCAGGGCGAACUGCUCGGCCGAAUAAAUCCCUUGUCCAGCAGCUCCUGCAGCUGCGUAGACAACUCCUGCAUCUCGGGAGGAGCCAACCGAUACGGUGCUUUGGCUAUCGGAGCCGCACCGGGAACGAGGUCAAUCCUGAACUCCACCUGUCGCUCCGGAGGUAUCCCAGGUAGUUCCUCCGGAAAAACAUCAGCAAAAUCUCGAACCACCGGGACCUCGCUCACGGUCGCCUUACCCGCCUCCCGGGUGUCCAUCACGUACGCGACAUAACCCGCGCAUCCCUGCUGAAGGUAGCGCCUAGCCCUCGCUGCUGAACAUACAGUGGGUCCACACUGCGGCCGCUCUCCAUGAAUCACUAACUCUCCCCCGCUUGGGGUCUUGACUCGCACUAGCUGCUGUGCGCAAUCUAUCACUGCCCCAUUAGGGCUCAACCAAUCCAUACCAAUAAUCACCUUGUUCCCACGCAAUGGAAUGGGAACCAAGUCUACCAGGUAACACUCCUCAAACAGUCGCAGGACACAAUCUCGAAACACCAUCGAUGCUCGCACCGAUCGAUCAUCGGCAAUCUCUACCUCUAACGGGCAAUCUAACUCGCCUGAAGUCUCAUGAAAUCUCUUGCUAAGAGCAAGAGAAACGAACGAUCGGGAUGCACCCGAGUCGAACAAUACCUGAACCGGGAUGCCGUUCACAUGGAACGAUCCUAAUACACAUGUAUACACACGGAGCACAUAUCAAUAUCAUAACAACGUAAAAUAAAAGAUAGAAGGAAGGAAUCAUACCCGUCACCACAUCGGGCGCGGCGCGUGCCUCCUCGGCAGUCAACUGAAAUGCCCGACUCCUCACCACUGGAGCCUCUGCCUUGCCCUGACGGCCAUCCGUGAUCCGCAGGGUCGCUGGAGCUGGCGCCUUCACUGGCGCUGAAGCUGUCAACAUGGGGCAAUUGGCCUUCUUGUGGCCCCUCUGGUUGCAGUGGAAACACAGCAACUCCGAUGUCUGAAUAACGGUCGCAGGAGCAGUGCAAUCCCUGCUGAUAUGCCCAAACUUGCCGCACUUGUAGCAGCCUGACGAUCCCAUCCUGCACGCCCCCUCGUGCGGCCUGCCGCACCUCCUGCAGCGGCUCGGUCCCGACUGGCCUUUCGGCCUCCCAUCUGAUCCCUUGGGCUUCUUCCCCGAAGCCCCCGAUGACUGACCAUCCUCAAGUUUCCGUUUCCGGAUGUGCUCCAAAUCUAUCUCUCUCUCCCUAGCCCUGGCAAUCAUGGAGUCCAGGGUAGGGCAAGCCGAAAAGCUAACAUGCUCCCGAAUGUCAGCUCGUAGCAUGUCGUGGUAACGAGUCCUCCUCAUAUCCUCGUCACCUGCAUACUGGGGCACCAAUAAAGCCCUCUCCCGAAACUUGGCGGUGAUCUCCGCCACGGUCUCUGUCGUCUGCCUCAUGUCUAAGAACUCCCUGGCCAGCUGCUGAAGCUCGACCGCUGGCGCAAACUCUGCCCUGAACCUAGUCACAAAGUCCGACCAGGUCAUUGCCUCGACAGCCGAGGCUCCCAUCGAGUCACCCACUGACUCCCACCAAUCUCGGGCCCGGUCCCGUAAACACCCUGCUGCGUACCUCACCUUCGACCCCUCGGGGCAGAAGCUGAUCAACUGGGCGGACUCGAUAUCCGCAAUCCACCGCCUGGCGACAAUGGGGUCCUUCACCCCAUGGAAAUCCGGCGCACCACUGCUCCUGAAGUCCUUGAAGGACAGUGUGCGAGAUCCUGACUGGCUAGAGGCCAAGUCGCUCCUGAAUGCCCGUAGGCGAUCCUCCAUCAUCUCCACGAUCCCUUCCUUGAUCGACCCAAAGAUGAUGGGGGUCGACUCAAGGAUGCCCCUAGUGAUCUCCGACGUGAUGAACUCACGUAGCCUCUCCUCAAUCGGCUCGGUGCCAGAUCCCGAACCUGACCCCUCUCCUGACCCGCCAUCUGUCGGUCUCGGUCGAAGUACCACCAUUCUGCAAAACAUCAAUAAUAAUCAUUAGUGGUACUGCUACUUUCUGAGGGAUCUCAACUACUUACAGGUUCCUUGGUCUCGUCUUGGCCUUCCUCGGCUCGGGUACGGAUCCUCUGCUUUCAGUAGUACGGGCCCAUACUACCUUCCACAUCUAUCCGUACCUUCUCCGAGGAAUUCCUCGACUCCACCAACUCCCCUCUACUACUGCUACUCUCCGAUAUUCUCACCCUAGGCUUGCCCUAGGGAGAACUCAAGUUCAACACAACUGGUCCUCAGCUGCUGUAGGUCUCCUCAUAAUGCCAGUUAGCCACCACCUAAACACCAUCACAUGUAAUGAGGAUUAGAUAAUCCUUCAAGUAAAAGAUCCGUCCCUACAACGGUUGGACUCAAACAAGAGCUGCGCAAUAGGGCCAGUUCCAACACUUUGGGAUUAUUCAACCCUGAUUACAUGUGGUGUGACGUGUUUACCUAGUGGCUCACUCCCAUUACUCAGAAUCCCACCGAGCACGAAGCAAGCAGCAUUCGGAUAAGGAAAAACAGACUCAAGCCAAAACUGUUCUUAGAACAAGAAACGACACUUAACAUAGGAUGCUAAGCUCAUACUAUCAGGCAUAACCUAAACAGGCUACCCUACUGCUGUCUACUCAAUUCUAGCAUGCAAUAUUCAAUAAGCUGGAACAAAUAAACAGGCACAUAAGGCAUCACUCCUAGAUCCUUAGCCUAUUCUAGCAUGCAAUAUUCAUAAAGCUGAUAAACAUAACAUAAACUUGUAUGGGUACUAUGGGGAAUACUUACUUGAGCUCGGCCGGUCGCGCACGUCACACACUUUACUCUUUCUCGUGACUCUUUUCCGGGUUUUAAAGAAUAAUUUCUUUUGGAAAAAUCUUUCAAUCCCUCGGUUUGAGUCCAAACACUCCCGAAGGCGUGUCCGAAUCCCUCAAACCAGGGCUCUGAUACCAACUUGUAACGACCCAAAUUUUAUUUUUUUUUUUUUUUGAUAUUACUUUAGAAAACAUUAAUAAAUAAAAACAUUGUCUAAAUAAAAAGAAACAUUGUUUGUUCACACCAUAACACAUUGCAACCAUGUUCUCAAAAGCCAAACCGUACAUCCCAUCAAAUAUCAGAGUACAAUCCCAGUAAAUCUCAUAAAUGCGGAAACCGAAGAGUGUGUGUAUGACGUGCCGCUACCGCGCCGGCUCCUUCCCCUUCGAUGCAGAGGUACCUGAAAACAAAACUGUAAACGUAAGCACAAAGCUUAGUGAGUUCCCCCAACGUACCGCAUACCAUACAAACACAUAACAUAUAUACUGCCAGGCUAUUCUGGGGUGCCUGACUACCCGGUACGGCCAUUCUGGGGUGCCGACCUACCCAUACGGCCAUUCUGGGGUGCCGUCUUACCCGUGUCAAGCCAUUCUGGGGUGCUGACUACCCAUCGGUCCUAACAACCGAUCCUCGGGGACUAUUUCACCCCUACUACUACGAUCACAUAUAACAUAACAAGCCAGCAUGCAUACAUAUCGUCACAUACUGUCAGACGUAUCUGGGGUGUCUGACUACCCUUCGGUCCGAACAACCAAACUCUACUACUAUCACAUACAGCAUAUCAUGCUAGCAUAUAACAUGUCAGGUACUAGCGAACUUAGAUGAUAUCACAAAGACAAUCAUCUAUCAUACAACUCCUACUGGUGGGUCGGCAUUGUGGCCUUAGACCCACCGCUACUGGAAGGUAACUCACCUCAAAGUAGCUGCUGAACUGAUCGGGAACUAACUGACUGCUGCUGCUCCGGGAGUCCUCCGGCUGCAAUUUCCACGACAUACUCAAUCAAACACUGCUAACUGUCCUUUAGGUAAAAUGACCAUUUUACCCCUGGAUUAACUCUAAGCCAAAGCUGGAGUCAACUUUCAGUUGACCCGACUCGCCGAGUGGAUCACCACUCGCCGAGUCCCUAGCAAACCAAUGUCCUGGGUCCCUGGUUCUACUCGUCGAGUCGGGCUAUGACUCGACGAGUUCACCUUCUAACUGCCAUUCAACACCUUCAUCCUACUCGCCGAGUUGUAUGAACAACUCGUCGAGUUCAUCUUCAUCCGAUGAACACUUUAUGCUAAGACUCGCCGAGUUGUAUGAACAACUCGCCGAGUCUGUUCUUGAGCUAUGAAGAUUGCCUUGGACUCGCCGAGUCAGGGCAUUGACUCGCCGAGUCCUAACAUGGGUGAGUUCAGCUCCCAACUCACCGAGUCACCCCCUGUGACUCAAGGCUCAACUCGACACAUGAAGAAGGGACCAAUUCGGUGACUCGCGACCAGACUCGCCGAGUCACCUAUGCGACUCGCCGAGUCGUCGCCAUGCACUCCUUAAAUAUACCGAUUUGCUCGGUUCCAGACCAUGCCAUUCAUAGAUCUGGACUUCUAGGACACGAAUCACACGUAAAGUUUCCAACUUUACGUGUGGAUAUUCACCAAUAUGGAUUAUAAGGCUCAAAAUGUCUCAAAAUGGUAGAUCUAGGGCUAACAAGCCUCAUGAGGCCAAAAAGCUAACAGAUCUGAGCUCCUGGAGCUCAAUCUUACAUAGAUCCAAAGGCCAAACGCAUUAUUACAACAUAUAAUGAUCAUGCAAACUUGGGGAAUUGACCAAGCAGGACCCAAAUGAAGUUUUAAGCAUAGAAUCAAGGGGAAAACGGGUUAUACCUCAAAGGAAAAGUUGAAAUGACACAAGGAUGGCUGAUCUCCUUCUCCUCUUCUUGAUCUACUCCUCUUACUCUUCAAAACCUUCAAGAAUACACCAAGAAUACCUCAACUCUCAAGGAAACAAGGGGAAAACGAUGUAGGGGGAGUUCUGGGGGUGAAUGGGGACGAGUUGGGGCGGAAUGAGAGUUUAAAUAGGGUGCAAACCCUUGAAACUUAGGGUUUCAUCCCGCAGCGGUGACUCGCCGAGUCCAGGAUAUGGACUC